ACCUGCCCUAUGAUAAUUAUUAAAUGGCCGCGAUAUUUUGAUCGUGCAAAGGUAGCAUAAUCAUUAGUUUCUUAAUUAGAAACUGGAAUGAAAGGUUGAACGAGAAAAAAACUGUCUCAAUUUAAUUUAAUUAGAAUUUUAUUUUUAAGUUAAAAAGCUUAAAUAAAUUUAAAAGACGAGAAGACCCUAUAGAGUUUUAUAUUUAAUAGUUUUUAAAAAAAUAUAGUAUAUAAUUUUUUAUUGUUUAUUAAAUAUUUAGUUGGGGUGACUAAAAAAUUAAAUAAACUUUUUUUUAAUUUUAACAUUAAUAUAUGAAUUAUUGAUCCAUAAUUUAUGAUUAAAAGAUUA
rnacentral:rRNA from 1 species